GCCUACGGGGCGCAGCAGUGGGGAAUAUUGCACAAUGGGGGAAACCCUGAUGCAGCGACGCCGCGUGAGUGAAGAAGUAAUUCGUUAUGUAAAGCUCUAUCAGCAGGGAAGAAAAUGACGGUACCUGAGUAAGAAGCCCCGGCUAACUACGUGCCAGCAGCCGCGGUAAUACGUAGGGGGCAAGCGUUAUCCGGAUUUACUGGGUGUAAAGGGAGCGUAGGCGGCAGUGCAAGUCAGAAGUGAAAGCCCGGGGCUCAACUCCGGGACUGCUUUUGAAACUGUACAGCUUGAUUGCAGGAGAGGCA
rnacentral:rRNA from 1 species